rnacentral:rRNA from 1 species
AGUCACUGACAUUAGAUACCCCUGUAGUCCAGGGUGUAAACGCUGCAGACUUGGUGUUGGAAGUCCUUUGGGGGCAUUCAGUGCCGGAGAGAAGUUGUUAAGUCUGCUACUUGGGAGUACGUCCGCAAGGAUGAAACUUAAAGGAAUUGGCGGGGGAGCACCGCAACGGGAGGAGCGUGCGGUUUAAUUGGAUUCAACACCGUAAAACUCACCAGGGAAGACUGUUACAUGGAAGCCGAGAUGAAGACUCUGCUAGAUUUUCAG